UUUUGUUGUUGUUGUUGAAAGUGACAGAAAACCCACUCAAACCAGUAAAAAAAGGGAAUUGACUGGUUCAUAUAAACAGAAAGUGCAGAGGUGGAGCCAGCCUCUCAGACUGCAGAGAUGUCACUUACAUUUCGAGGACUCCCUCUGCUCCUGGCCUCAGGCCUUCUUCCCUGAUCUUCUUUACUCUUAGACUGAGGAGAGGAGUGGGAUGUGGCUGCAGAAAACUGAAGGCUUACCGCUAUUCAGACAGUGACGCCUCUAGAAAAAAGCUUUUUACUCCUAGCAUCCAUGUAAAUAUCUUAAGAUAGGUGUGAUUGGCCCAACUUGGAUCAAGUCCACAUCCCUGAAUAAGUAACCAAGGUAGAAGGAUACAGAGGUCUGACUGGCUCGGCAGAGAUCACAUACCCCUCACUGUCUCCUGCAGAGCAGGGCAACAUGCAUGAUUGGCAGCCCAAGCAGAACCACAUGGAAUUCUCCAAAGGAAGGUUUCUUCCAGCCAUGAGGGAGUAACAAAGACGGACUUACCUAGAACACUGGAUAAAACAUAUGAUACAACAGCUUUUAGACAGUAGACAACAGAUAGCACUGGAUUAUGAUCCUUGAAGGAAGGAAAACAAAUGAGAUGAGCCCCAUAAGCCCCUGGCUUAUGCCAGGAGGUGAUUCUGAUCUGUGUUGUACAGAUGAGGAAACUAAACAGAGACUGAUGAUCUUAUGAAUUGGUGAGGCAGAGACUAGAGUUCAGGAAAUUGAGGUGGUGAGGAUUUGCAGGGCAGAGUAAUGGAGAGGAGGGAUCUUUGUAGAGAAGGUCCCCCAAAUCUGCACAGUAUUCACAGUAUCAUUGAAUAUAUGAGGCAUCUUACAUAUUUGAUGACAGAUGCCAGAAGGGUCAUAUUUCAUAGUAGGACUAAACUACCUCUAGAAGAAAAACUACUCUAGCCCUACCUUUAGAAAACUUAAAAACAAGCUUCUAAAAGUUCAUCCUGGUCUUUUAAUGGCAUGCCAGAGCAGAGUGCAAUCCUCUUUAAAGGAUUACAACAAAAUCCAGUACUCAAAAGCAAACUUACAUUGUGUCGCAUUCAAUCAAAAAUGAAUAGAAGUGCAAAGAAGCAGAAAAUUUUUACCCAUAACUAGAAGAAAAAUAAUGGAAAUGUAUUGAGAAAUACAGAGAUGAUGGAGUUAGUAUUUAAAGAUACUAAAGUAAUUCUUGCAAAUGUACUUAUUAUGUUUAAAUGAUUUAGAGGAAAACGUGAACAUAAUGAGGAAGUAAAUAGUAAAAGCCCCAAAUGAAUUCCUAGAAAUGAAAAAUAUUUGAAAUGAAAAUUUCAUUGGACAGAAUGAACAAUUAUUUAGACCCUGCAGAAGAAAGAUUUAUAUACUUGAAGACAUAGCCUCAGAAACUAUUCAAAAUGAAGCAAA